rnacentral:rRNA from 1 species
AACGAACGCUGGCGGCAGGCCUAACACAUGCAAGUCGAACGCUCCAGCAAUGGAGAGUGGCAGACGGGUGAGUAACGCGUGGGAACCUUCCCUAUGGUUCGGAAUAGCUCAGGGAAACUUGAGGUAAUACCGGAUAAGCCCUUCGGGGAAGGAUUUAUCGCCAUUGGAUGGGCCCGCGUAGGAUUAGCUAGUUGGUGAGGUAACGGCUCACCAAGGCGACGAUCCUUAGCUGGUCUGAGAGGAUGAUCAGCCACACUGGGACUGAGACACGGCCCAGACUCCUACGGGAGGCAGCAGUGGGGAAUAUUGGACAAUGGGCGCAAGCCUGAUCCAGCCAUGCCGCGUGAGUGACGAAGGCCUUAGGGUUGUAAAGCUCUUUUGGCGGGGAAGAUAAUGACGGUACCCGCAGAAUAAGCUCCGGCUAACUUCGUGCCAGCCGCCGCCGUAAC